CAGUCGCCGCGGGAAUACGUAGGGUGCGAGCGUUGUCCGGAAUUAUUGGGCGUAAAGAGCUUGUAGGUGGUUUGUCGCGUCUGCUGUGAAAAUCCGAGGCUCAACCUCGGACUUGCAGUGGGUACGGGCAGACUAGAGUGUGGUAGGGGAGACUGGAAUUCCUGGUGUAGCGGUGGAAUGCGCAGAUAUCAGGAGGAACACCGAUGGCGAAGGCAGGUCUCUGGGCCAUUACUGACACUGAGAAGCGAAAGCAUGGGGAGCGAACAGGAUUAGAUACCCCAGUAGUCCCUGUCUCUUAUAC
rnacentral:rRNA from 1 species